CCAAAAAUGAUAGUAAACUGAAUAGUGGUUUAAAAAUUAGGCCAGUCCUUGAUUUAAAAAAAGUUAUAGAAAGUGAAACUGGAAGAAAAAAGAUCCUAAAAGAUCUUUCCAUGAAGUUGAUUUUACAAAGAUAUCAGGAAAUGAUUGUAAAGUGGAAGGUGAAAGAAAGAUAAAGCCAG
rnacentral:lncRNA from 1 species